rnacentral:tRNA from 1 species
GGAGAGGUGCCAGAGUGGUUGAAUGGGGCGGUCUCGAAAACCGUUAAACCCGCAAGGGUUUCGAGGGUUCGAAUCCCUCUCUCUCCGCCA